rnacentral:rRNA from 1 species
GACGAACGCUGGCGGCGUGCUUAACACAUGCAAGUCGAACGGAAAGGCCCUGCUUUUGUGGGGUGCUCGAGUGGCGAACGGGUGAGUAUCACGUGAGUAACCUGCCCUUGACUUUGGGAUAACUUCAGGAAACUGGGGCUAAUAUCGGAUAGGAGCUCCUGCUGCAUGGUGGGGGAUGGAAAGUUUCGGCGGUUGGGGAUGGACUCGCGGCUUAUCAGCUUGUUGGUGGGGUAGUGGCUUACCAAGGCUUUGACGGGUAGCCGGCCUGAGAGGGUGACCGGCCUCAUGGGGACUGAGAUACGGCCCAGACGCCUACGUGAGGCAGCAGUGGGGAAUAUGACACAAUGGGCGGAAGCCUGAGGCAGCAACGCCGCGUGCGGGAUGACGUCCUUCGGGUUGUAAACCGCUUUCUCCUGUGACGAAGCGGGAGUGACGGUAAUGAGUAAAGAAGCACCGGCUAACUACGUG